CGCAGGAUGGACCCCAACCCCGACUGCCACGCCCCUUAUGACGUCACGUAGCGUCGGCACGCCCGUCGCCCGGCCCUCCGGGCUUGUAGGAAGAGAAGCGAGGGGUCCGGAACCGUCCGGCGUCGUCCGCGCAGCCUCCCUCUUUCCUCCCCGGCUGUCAGCCUGGCCCCGCCCUCUCAGCCUUCCAAUAGGCUCUCGGCCCCGCCCCGCCCGUUCCUGCUUCCGCCAUCGCUGCGCCGCGUCCGCUUUGCCCUGCAAUUUUCCCAGUGCCGGUUUCUAGUGCUCGCUGUCCAACUUCAGGGUAUUUUUGCUCUCGCUCAGAGUUCCGACUUCCACCCCGGCCAUUUAGUCCCGUGGUCACAAGGAGCAGUUGCUGUGUUAGGACCCAGUGGAUGAUGAAACACCAGAGACCACAUAGCUAGAGAAUGGCCAGACUCAGUUUUGAAUCUAAGCAAUCUUGACUCCAGAGCCCUCCAGCUUAAAGGAUGGCCGUCUGAGAGUGACUUCUGAUGGCCUCGCCAGCAACCACACAAGGUCUCUUACGGCUAAGACUCUGGAACUCACACAGCGUUGCUUUUGUCACCGUCUGUUGGUCAAGGACAGUCUCAAGGCCCACCCAGAUUCAAGGGAGUGGAGAGAUAGCCUCUGCAUCUUGAUGGAAAGGGUGGCAACAUCAUACUGCAAAAAUGCAUGUGGAUACAGGAAAGUGUGACUCAUUGGGGAGCAUUAUUAUAAUGUUUUUCCAUAGCUGACAUUUCCCACAGGAUAACAUUCUGCUUGCCAGCCUUCCUGUUAUGCCCACAGCUUCCUUUAAAUAGGGGUGCUUGGGUGGCUCGGUCGGUUAAGUGUCCAACUCUUGAUUUCAGCUCAGGUUAUGA